rnacentral:rRNA from 1 species
GUGGGUAGUUUGACUGGGGCGGUCUCCUCCCAAAGAGUAACGGAGGAGCACGAAGGUUGGCUAAUCCUGGUCGGACAUCAGGAGGUUAGUGCAAUGGCAUAAGCCAGCUUGACUGCGAGCGUGACGGCGCGAGCAGGUGCGAAAGCAGGUCAUAGUGAUCCGGUGGUUCUGAAUGGAAGGGCCAUCGCUCAACGGAUAAAAGGUACUCCGGGGAUAACAGGCUGAUACCGCCCAAGAGUUCAUAUCGACGGCGGUGUUUGGCACCUCGAUGUCGGCUCAUCACAUCCUGGGGCUGAAGUAGGUCCCAAGGGUAUGGCUGUUCGCCAUUUAAAGUGGUACGCGAGCUGGGUUUAGAACGUCGUGAGACAGUUCGGUCCCUAUCUGCCGUGGGCGCUGGAGAAUUGAGGGGGGCUGCUCCUAGUACGAGAGGACCGGAGUGGACGCAUCACUGGUGUUCGGGUUGUCAUGCCAAUGGCACUGCCCGGUAGCUAAAUGCGGAAGAGAUAAGUGCUGAAAGCAUCUAAGCACGAAACUUGCCCCGAGAUGAGUUCUCCCUGACUCCUUGAGAGUCCUGAAGGAACGUU